rnacentral:rRNA from 1 species
UACAGAGGUCCCAAGCGUUGUUCGGAUUCAUUGGGCGUAAAGGGUGCGUAGGCGGCGCGGUAAGUCGGGUGUGAAAUCUCGGGGCUUAACUCCGAAACUGCAUUCGAUACUGCCGUGCUUGAGGACUGGAGAGGAGACUGGAAUUUACGGUGUAGCGGUGAAAUGCGUAGAUAUCGUAAGGAAGACCAGUGGCGAAGGCGGGUCGUCGUGGACAGUUCCUGACGCUGAGGCACGAAGGCCAGGGAGCAAACGGG